UGAAUUCUAUUUACGGAAGGUGUGGAACAUAAGUCCUUGCACACGCUAGAUUUAAAUGAAAAUCUCAAUACUCCGUACUAAGCAAUUUGUAUGAGAGUCGAUUGAAAUUCUUUUGCUUCAUAGCCACUCCAUCACAAAUCUAUAUAAGUAAUGCUUGAAUACACAGAUUAAUACGAUAUAUGGCUAUCUCUGAGAUGUAUUUUUAUAUUAUAUAUAUGCUAGAUUGAUGAUAAGAUUGUAUAUACUACUAAAGUGUAGCCGUGGAUGAUAAAAAGUGGCGUUUAUAUUCUGACCUGUAUCAUAUCUAAGAAAUAAUGAUAUGAAAAUAAAAAUCGAUUCUAUCAAGAGAUAAAUGAGAUAUCUAGCUCUCUUACUUACACCUAUUUUUUGAAUUGAUAUGGUUGUUUAGUUAUUCUCAUUCAAAGACUUCUCAAAAAAAAAAAAAAAAAAACCAUAACUGCGGAUUAGUGACA
rnacentral:sRNA from 2 species